GCAAGUCGAGCGGUAGCACAGGGGAGCUUGCUCCCUGGGUGACGAGCGGCGGACGGGUGAGUAAUGUCUGGGAAACUGCCUGAUGGAGGGGGAUAACUACUGGAAACGGUAGCUAAUACCGCAUAACGUCGCAAGACCAAAGAGGGGGACCUUCGGGCCUCUUGCCAUCAGAUGUGCCCAGAUGGGAUUAGCUAGUAGGUGGGGUAAUGGCUCACCUAGGCGACGAUCCCUAGCUGGUCUGAGAGGAUGACCAGCCACACUGGAACUGAGACACGGUCCAGACUCCUACGGGAGGCAGCAGUGGGGAAUAUUGCACAAUGGGCGCAAGCCUGAUGCAGCCAUGCCGCGUGUGUGAAGAAGGCCUUCGGGUUGUAAAGCACUUUCAGCGAGGAGGAAGGUGGUGAACUUAAUACGUUCAUCAAUUGACGUUACUCGCAGAAGAAGCACCGGCUAACUCCGUGCCAGCAGCCGCGGUAAUACGGAGGGUGCAAGCGUUAAUCGGAAUUACUGGGCGUAAAGCGCACGCAGGCGGUUUGUUAAGUCAGAUGUGAAAUCCCCGGGCUCAACCUGGGAACUGCAUUUGAAACUGGCAAGCUAGAGUCUCGUAGAGGGGGGUAGAAUUCCAGGUGUAGCGGUGAAAUGCGUAGAGAUCUGGAGGAAUACCGGUGGCGAAGG
rnacentral:rRNA from 1 species